rnacentral:rRNA from 1 species
GACGAACGCUGGCGGCGUGCUUAACACAUGCAAGUCGAACGGAUAGGCCCUGCUUUUGUGGGGUGCUCGAGUGGCGAACGGGUGAGUAACACGUGAGUAACCUGCCCUUGACUUUGGGAUAACUUCAGGAAACUGGGGCUAAUACCGGAUAGGAGCUCCUGCUGCAUGGUGGUGGUUGGAAAGUUUCGGCGGUUGGGGAUGGACUCGCGGCUUAUCAGCUGGUUGGUGGGGUAGUGGCUGACCAAGGCUUCGACGGGUAGCCGGCCUGAGAGGGUGACCGGCGACAUUGGGACUGAGAGACGGCACAGAAGGCUACGGGAGGCAGCAGGGGGAAAUAUUGCGCAAUGGGCGGAAGGCUGAUGCAGCAGCGCCGCGUGCGGGAAGACGGCCUUCGGGUUGUAAACCGCUUUCGCCUGUGACGAAGCGUGAGUGACGGUAAUGGGUAAAGAAGCAACGGCUAACUACGUG